UUUUUUUUGAAGAUUGUUCUUCUGAUUCAUAUGGCGUGUCCGUUUGCCAUUUUCCGGAACAAAGUAGUCGAUUUCGCAUUUUCCCUUUGAUACUUCAAUAUAAAUUAUAAUUAAACCGAAAGGAGAUGAGUUGUCCUCUUCAAAAAAAAAUAUGUAUUUGUCGGGAUCGAGGGUAGAAUUGAAACACAGGCGUCCACCCUCGGCGCUCGACGGAGUCAAGGAUUCAUCGGCUGAGCGGCGUGUCGAUCACUUCUCGUGCAGCAGCCGACCAGUGCGGUCGAAUAUUGAACCGUCGUGUGUUUCAACUGUAUACCUAGUCUGUAACCUGUUAGUUUGAUAUUGUAACAGUUAAUUAUCUUUCAUGUACUUUGUAACCAUGUUUGCACUUUGAGAGUGACUGAGACCUCUGAGUUUGUUUCGGCAUUUCUUCUCAGAGUAGUCGGUAGGAAAUGCCGGCCCCAUCAGUAGCUUAAGUAAAGUAACAGUGCAAUGUACAGAAUUAAACAAUAGUUCCAUAUCGAAGACUUUAUUAUUUUACUGCUACCUUCGUCAUAACGCCCACAAGUAUUCCUGACAUGAGUAGUGAGAUUCUCCUUUCACCGACAUAUCGAAAGUGAGAGAUCUCCUAUCUCCGACAUCAGAAGUGGGAUGGACCCGGACGAUUGAAGAUGUUGAAAUCAUCGGAGCUGAUUCAUCGAGAACUACUUGCAUUCGACCCCAACAAAAAAAAACUGCGAUGCAAGGCAAGCGCAGUACAUCGUCAUCCGGUACACGAGCAACGGCGGCGGUGGCAGCGGCAGCAGGCCAGGGACACGGCGACGGCAGCGGACCAGGAGACGCGGCGACUGUAGCGGACCAGGGAACGCGGCGACGGCAGCAGACCUGGGGACGCGGCGGCAGCGACAGCGGGCCAGGUGACGCAGCGUAAGCGCGGCGUAUGGUGAGAAGCGUAUUGAUGUCUGCAGUUGGACACUGCAUCAUCGGGAAUAUUCAGGUGACCUUGUUCCUUUUAUUAUGAUUCUGAUACCAAAUACUUUAUAGGAUGAAAAUGAGUCAGCGUUUCCUGUUUAGGAUUGUUGAUUUUGCGAUCAGAAGUAUUAUUUUACUUUUGUCGGGUAGUCAUAAUAAAAACUUAGUCGUGAUGUUUGAGAACCGAGAUCAGUUGAAGAGUCAUUAGAAUGGCGUCUUUUGGGUAAUGUUAUUCUGUGUUGUAUAUUGUUAGGUUACGUGAUAUCUCAAAUAAUCUUUGAUUUUGUUUAGUUGGAAAUUUGACUUCCGCGACGUGAGGUAGAUUUAAAUAUGCGCUUGCGGUGUAGCGUGGUACAGAACAUUGAGAAGGUUAGUUCUUAACAAAGCAGGGUUAAAAGAUGCUCACUUAGCGAUUCGCGAUUGAAGUUAGAUGCGAAUUGUCUUCUGAAGUCCUGGGCAAACUCAUGAUCGGUUUGCCGUGAUCUAAUUUUUGGGUUUAGUGUGUUAUAUUUAGUUUUAAUUGUAGGUAGUAAGUCUAGGGAACAAAGAUUCUGAUUUAUUUUACUGCACUGUGAAUGCUUAUCAUUACAGUGCUUAUCAUUACAAUGCUUAUCAUUACACUCGAGUCCAUAACACAAGUCGUAGCUGACUUGAAGUGACUUGGGAGUCCUUGCGAGUGCCUAUGAUGUGGUAACCUUGAAGCAAUCGAUGUUGAUUACUAAUCAUUUAAUUAUAUUUUGAUUGAGGGUACUUAGACGUAAGAUAUGUUUCCGAAGGUACAUUUUAGUACUCUGAUAGACUGUUAGGUAGUUAUUCUAAAUGUAGUCUGUCAAGUUUGGUUUUGCCUAGUAAAGAAAACCGCGGAGUAACGAGACGCGACAUUUCAUUUUGAUAUUGCAUCUAAUUUGAAUAGUGUAGGUACAUUGAAAAUUAUUUUAAAAGGUGUUACCGACAUUUGUUACCUUUUUACCAUUAUGAGUAUUGUAGUUGUAACUGUGGGUAGACUGGUUGUUUAAGCGGUAGUUCGGCAUUUUAUUUUGAUUGUGCAUCUGAAUUGAAUAGUUACAGUACAGUUCUGACGAAUAAGGACGAGGAGGAUAUCUGAUCACCAGGUUCCUCGAGAAUUUUGUGAAAUGUAAGAGGUAGAAUUUCCUAUACACAUCGUUACUACUUGUACUCAACACUCAUCAUUCACACUCAUGCCCUAAACACUCGACACUGUGGACCGCACCGCAUGAGUAACAUGUGGAGAUGGGUCUGGCACAAUGGACCGCGCUCAUGAAGAGCAUGAGGCGAUGGUCAGUGUACACACUGGACCGCGCUCAUGAGGAACAUGAGGCGAUGGCUCUAUGCACACACUCACACUCGGACCGCACACAUGAGAACCGUGUGGUGAUGGGUCUGCACAAACUCGCAUUGAGACCGCACCCGUGAGGAACAUGGCUGUUGGGUCUUUACUCACAAGUACAUACUCACACUUACAUCAUGUACACACAUUCACGUACACGUAGGUACGGUAUGCCGACGAAUUAAAGUUAAACUGACAUAAUUCAGAUAAAGUAGUUCAAAUAGCAGAUACCUUAGAGGGUAGAUUAUUAGAGUAGUUGAAGGUAGUAGAACCUGUGUUUGAGUUUGCAAGGUGAUCGUAGUUUAAAAGAUGUUUGUUAAUGAGGGUUUCAGUGCAAACCAAGGAGUCUAGCAGAGACUCGGUGUUCCCAUGUGGGGUUCACGUGAGACAGAAUAACUGUAUGGUACGAGAACUGUGCGUAGCCGUGAUCACUUGUAAAGCUUGAAUGCUUUGAGUUACUUGGUAGAAUCAUUAUUUUGCGAGUAACUAUGUUUGUGAAAUAUCAGUUUCACUGGUUUUGAUAUUGAUUUGUUUCGAUACAUAGUAACGAGUUAAGUAACAUUUUUAUGAGGAUGAUGGUUCAAGUUUUAGAAGGUCACGCAUCAGCCGAGAUUGGUUUUGAUGAAGUUAAUGAAGCUCGGUAGAAACUCGGGUAAGGGGACUCUAGAAGCCAUUAUGUGUUUGUGCUGUCUCUAUUCGGUAUGUUUGUGUCCGAUCACCUCAGUAGCGGUCGCGUAUUCGCAACCCGGUCACAAACGGAAUCUCCGAGUGUCGCCUCGAGAGUCCGUUCGGUGCGCGGUACGAGUUUGGCUCUGACGGGGGUCGGCGGCUGUCUGUGUUCGGUAUGUUUGUGUUCGAUCACCUCAGUAGCGGUCACGUAUUCGCAACCCGGUCGCAAACGGAAUCUCCGAGUGUCGCCUCGAGAGUCCGUUCGGUGCGCGAUACGAGUUUGGCUCUGACGGGGGUCGGCGGUUGUAUGUGUUCGUUUUGUGUUCGCCGGUCGGCUUGAGAGCCGGGGCACUGGGUGCAUUGCUCGUGGACUCGAGUAAGGGCAUGCCAGGGGCCAUUGUUGGUAGUUGCGUGGUUACCAGGUGGUGACGCACGGGAGAUCCAUGUGAUGGAUGUCAGCAAUGUGAUUGCUGGUCGGCUUGAGAGCCGGGGCACUGGGUGACUUGCUCGUGGACUCGAGUAAGGGCAUGCUAGGGGCCAUGUGAUGGAAGUCAGCAAUGUGAUUGCUGGUCGGCUAGAGAGCCGGGGCGCACUAGAUGUCUUACUCGGGAGUUUCUAGAGUUGUACUGAGUAGUUUGUAAUUUUUGUUGAUAAGAACGGCUGUGAUGCGUGAACCUAACAGUUUGAUGCUUUUGUAAUUGUGUGUGGAAUGUGGUCAGGAAUGACCGAGCUAUAUGAUACUUUGCGUGUAAUUUUCUGUCACAGAUGAGUUGUCACACGAGGACGUGUGCAAGCAGGAUGGCCGUGUCGGGAUCGAGGGUAGAAUUGAAACACAGGCGUCCACCCUCGGCGCUCGACGGAGUCAAGGAUUCAUCGGCUGAGCGGCGUGUCGAUCACUUCUCGUGCAGCAGCCGACCAGUGCGGUCGAAUAUUGAACCGUCGUGUGUUUCAACUGUAUACCUAGUCUGUAACCUGUUAGUUUGAUAUUGUAACAGUUAAUUAUCUUUCAUGUACUUUGUAACCAUGUUUGCACUUUGAGAGUGACUGAGACCUCUGAGUUUGUUUCGGCAUUUCUUCUCAGAGUAGUCGGUAGGAAAUGCCGGCCCCAUCAGUAGCUUAAGUAAAGUAACAGUGCAAUGUACAGAAUUAAACAAUAGUUCCAUA